CUGCCGCCUCUGUCCUCGGAUCCGCACCGCUCUGCUCCCUGGUGUGUUGAUUCUUCCCCCAGCUGCUGCCUAAUGGAGUCCAGGCGCUCGCGUCACAGGAAAUGCCUAUACUGCCCUCCUCACUCACUUCCGGUGGCAGCUCGGCUGGCUCGACGAGCAGUAAGUUCGUAGCCGCCCUCCGAAGCCGGGCGUGCAUGGGAUGGCAGAGUUGGCGUGCGUGCGUGAGUCCACCAGUGUGGCCUGGGCAUGUAAGAUUACACAUAGGAAUCUGGACUUCUGGUUUCUCUUCAAAGAGUUGGAUCCACACUUCUGAAAAACAGAUGGUUGGCGUUCAUAGUGGCUUCUGCUUCUAUACAGAUCUCUGCUUCUAGCCGUCCUUCCACUCUAUCAACUAAUAUUUCUUUUGCAAAGCUAGGAGGCUUGUCUGUUUACAUUUCUGGUCCCGUCCCUGAAGCUUGGACUGAGAGACCUGGUGAGGAAUGUUUCCUCUGUAGUUUCGACAGGCACAGCUAUUUGUCACUGCCUCAGAAGCUGCGUGGCUGCAGAAGAGAAUCGGCCUCUGGUACUGGUGAAGAGACCAGAGAUUUUCAGUUAGGCAUUUUACCUGGCUGAGUGCAGGGCUUGGAGGUGGAGUCGCUUGUGGAAGGAUUAACUAGAGGGAGGAGUCACUGUCAUUAGGAUACCAUACACAUGGCAAAACCAAAUAUAACCACCCACCUCCUCUGACUCACCUACUUAAAGCAUGAAUAACCUGGAGGGGGUGGUGGCAAGCAGGUACAGAGAUGCUCCUUGACUUUCAGUGGGUUUGUAUCUCAAUAAACCCAUUGUAAGUAGAAAAUAUUGUAAGUCGAAAAUGCAUUUAAUCCACCUAACCUACAGAACUUCAUAGCUUAGCCUAGCCUACCUUAAACGUGCUCAGAACACUACAGUAGCUUACAGUUGGGCAAAAUCAUCUAACACAAAGCCUAUUAUAUAAUAAUGUCGAAUAUUAUGUAAUUGAAUACUGUACAGAAAGUAAAAAAACAGAAUGGUUGUAUGGGUACUCAAAGUAUGGUUUCUACUGAAUGUGUAUUGCUUUCACACCAUCAUAAAAUUGAAAAAUUGUAAGCUGAACCAUCAUAGGUCCGGGACCAUCUGUAUUUGAAUGAGUGAGGUGGGGGCCUGAAUCCACCCUCCUCCUCCCCUCACCACCCCAUCCUCAAGAUACACAUAGACCAGUGAAGUCUGUCUUGGCCUUGUGAAACCCUUACCAUCUGAAUGGCCUAAUGAAGUAGAACUUGUGACUGAUAGGAAGACUUUGGAGAGGUUUGGAAUGUUCUUUGACUUACCAGGAAUCUAGUAGACCCAGGAUUAUCCAAAUGUCACCAAACAGUGAGUUCAGUGCCCAGAGGGGAGGCCCAUUAUUAACCCUUCCUUGAGGUAGACACACCCAGUGUAGAUGAGGGUGAUGCUGGGUAGUCCCUGCCCAUGGCUUAGUCUGACCCUACUCAGGAAGGGGAUAUAAUAGGAAUAGCAUUAUGAGAGAUUCUUUCUGUUCUGUACCCCUUAUGUGUUAUAAGAUAAUGGAGGAAAAUCUCAGUUGCCAAACCUGUGUCAGCCACAUUAAAGCAACAGUUACUAUAUCAGUCAUGGUAAAUGAAUGGUGGUCCAGAUAUAAACAUUGUUUUACCCCUUGAUAUUUUUAUAUGAAGCAUUUGGCUUGAAUCUUAUGUUUGAAACAUCAAACAUAGUGUAUUGUCAUAUUGAAUAUGAAUACUACCAGUGUUUUAAUAAUAACUGACAUUAUAUUUGUGGCACCACAGGUGUAUCAUUUUAAAUUCUCUAUAUAUAGCAUUUAAAGUGUAUAGUGACUCAAGUAAUUACUGUUGCUUCAUGUGGUGAAUAUGGGAUGUGCCAGUUUAGCAGAUGUGGUUACUCAACUCACAUAAAAAGGUCACCUUAAUCUGUCAGAAAUCGUGGAAGUCACAUCUCAAGUAGGAUUGAAACAUGCAUAAUAUGGUCCAUGAAGAGGGCACUCUUUUCUUCCCCGCUCCCCUCUCCUCACACCACCUCCUGCUUCUUUUCACAAGCUCUACAUUGUUCUGCAUAGCAACGUUCCAUCCACAAAAAGCUCCAGUGUGUAGGGGGUCUGAAUCCUGUCUGAUCCCUUCCCUAGCCCCAUAGCUCAGACAUGAGAUGUGGUCCAGGGAGCAGCCUAGACAAGUGGCAAUGGGACAUGUAAAGAUUCCCCUUUCUUUUCUUUCUUUAAGUGUUUUUUGGAGACAGGGUCUCACUUUGUUGCCUGGGCUGGAGUGCGGUGGUGCAGUCACGGCUCACAGUAGCCUGGACCUCCCGGGCUUGAGCCAUCCUCCCACCUCAGCUUCCCAAGCAGUUGGGACUAUAAGUGCGUGCCACCACACCCAGCUAAUUUUUGUAUUUUUUGUAGAGAUAGGAUUGUACCGUGUUGCUCAGGCUGGUCUCAAACCCCUGGCCUCAUGAGAUCCUCCCACCUCGGCCUCCGAAAGUGCCGGGAUUACAGGCAUGAGCCACUGUGCCCGGCCAAAGAUUCCCCUGUCUUUUUGGCACUCUUCAGCUGUGCCCUCCCAGGGAAGACAUUAGCUCACUCUGCAGCCACUUGUGCCAUUCUCGUGCCCUCCUUGCACAAGGCCUUGUCGUAACUGCUUCACUCUCCUGGUCUGCCAGUGCAGAUAUCAGUGAUCCAAGAAGAUACAGGAAGAGGCUUGUGUGGGAGUCGCCUGGAGCCCUCCAUGAUCAAGUCUUCAGCAGACAUCAUGUGACCUUGAGGAUGGAUGUCACAUGCUGGAGGAAACAGAAGGCCGAAACCCUGAUGACUUCACAGAGCUGCCAAAACAGUUCCUGACUGUUUACUCCGGGUCUUUAACAAAGUGAUGAAAAGAAAUCCUUGCAGUAUGAAAACAACUUUUCUAUUCCAUGGAGCCAAACCUCAUUAUAACAGAUAACGUGACCCUCAGCGAUAUCCAAGUAUUUUCCUGUUCUCAUCUAUACUAUGGCAAAGGGGCAAAUACCUCUCAGUAAAGAAAGAAAUAACAACUUGUAUCUUGGGCGAGGCAUUUCUUCUGGUAGAACUUUGUACACAGAAUAAAAUAGAUCUGUUUGUGCUUAUCUUUCUCCUUAGAAUUAUUGAAUUUGAAGUCUUUCCCAGGGUGGGGGUGGAGUGAAGCUGGGGUUUCAUAAGCACAUAAUAGUGUCUCUUAGCUUCCGUUUAAAUAUGGGGGUAGCGAUGUGGAGGACCCAGAAGUAUCAGAGAGAGACAGGCUGCUCUGAUUGCCUUUGUAAAAUGCACAUUUGAGCUUGUGCAAAGCCCUGGGCCUGAGCUCAGAAAAAGCAAGGACAGGAUUGAGGCUCUUGGUUCAGUUCCCCUGCACACCCUGGGCGGGGAGGGGUUGUUAGAGUCAUGGAACCCCUAUUUUUUUUUUUUUUUUGACCGGGUCUCGCUUGGUCACCCAGCCGGAGUGCAGAGGUAUGUACACAGCUCACUGCAGCCUCAACUUCCUGGGCUCAAGCGAUCUUCCUGCCUCAGUCCCCGGAGUUGCUGGAGCUACAGCCCCAUGCCACUACACCUGGCUAACUUUUGUACUUUUUGUAGAGACAGGGUUUUGUCAUAUCGCCCAGGCUGCUCUCGAACUCCUGAGCUUAAGACCAGGUUGCUCAAGUGAUCCACCCACAUCGGCCUCCCAGGGUGCUAGGAUUACAGGCAUGAUCCACCCCUCCUGGUUUAUCUUUCUUAAGCUUGGAGUCAUCUUUUUAAAACAGCCACAAUGAGGUAUAAUUGAUAUACAAUACACUGCUUAUAUUUAAAGUGGAUAAUUUGAUAAGUUUUGCCAUAUGUUUACAUCUGUGAAACUGUCACCACAAUCAACAGGGGGAUCAUAUCCAUCACCCACAAAAGUUUUCUCAGGCCUCUUCCCCCUGAGAAAACCCUCCCUCUGGCAGCCACUGAACUGCUUUCUGUCCCUGCAGAUUCGUUUGCAUUUUCUUAAGUUUUAUAUAAAUGGAAUCAUAGAGUACGUGCUCUUCUUUUGUCUGUCUUCUUUCACGCAGCAUAAUUAUUUUUUAGAUUCUUGUGUCUUGUGUGUGUCAAUUAUUUUCUUUUUAUUGAUGAAUAACAUUCCAUUGUAUGGAUAUACCACAUCUGUACAGUUUGUUUAAUCCAUUCACCUGUUGAUGGACAUUUGGAUCACUUCCAAUAUUUGGCUGUUAAAAUAAAGCUACUCCGAACAUU